rnacentral:rRNA from 1 species
CCUACGGGAGGCAGCAGUGGGGAAUAUUGCGCAAUGGGCGAAAGCCUGACGCAGCGACGCCGCGUGAGGGAUGAAGGUCUUCGGAUCGUAAACCUCUGUCAGCAGGGAAGAACGGUCACUGUGCUAAUCAGCAGUGAAUUGACGGUACCUGCAAAGGAAGCACCGGCUAACUCCGUGCCAGCAGCCGCGGUAAUACGGAGGGUGCGAGCGUUAAUCGGAAUUACUGGGCGUAAAGCGCUCGUAGGCGGUAUGUCAAGUCAAGGGUGAAAUCCCCGCGCUCAACGUGGGAACUGCCUUUGAAACUGGCAGACUGGAGUGUGUGAGAGGAUAGCGGAAUUCGAGGUGUAGGAGUGAAAUCCGUAGAUAUCUGGAGGAACAUCAGUGGCGAAGGCGACUAUCUGGCACAUAACUGACGCUGAGGAGCGAAAGCGUGGGUAGCAAACAGGAUUAGAUACCCUGGUAGUC